GACGAACGCUGGCGGCGUGCUUAACACAUGCCAGUCGAACGGAAAGGCCCUGCUUUUGUGGGGUGCUCGAGUGGCGAACGGGUGAGUAACACGUGCGUAACCUGCCCUUGACUUUGGGAUAACUUCAGGAAACUGGGGCUAAUACCGGAUAGGAGCUCCUGCUGCAUGGUGGGGGUUGGAAAGUUUCGGCGGUUGGGGAUGGACUCGCGGCUUAUCAGCUUGUUGGUGGGGUAGUGGCUUACCAAGGCUUUGACGGGUAGCCGGCCUGAGAGGGUGACCGGCCACAUUGGGACUGAGAUACGGCCCAGACUCCUACGGGAGGCAGCGGUGGGGAAUAUUGCACAAGGGGCGGAAGCCUGAUGCAGCAACGCCGCGUGCGGGAUGACGGCCUUCGGGUUGUAAACCGCUUUCGCCUGUGACGAAGCGUGAGUGACGGUAAUGGGUAAAGAAGCACCGGCUAACUACGUG
rnacentral:rRNA from 1 species